rnacentral:rRNA from 1 species
AGAGCGAACGCUGGCGGCAGGCCUAACACAUGCAAGUCGAGCGCCCGUAGCAAUACGGGAGCGGCAGACGGGAUAGUAACACGUGGGAACGCGCCCUUCGGUUCGGAAUAACUCAGGGAAACUUGAGCUAAUACCGGAUACGCCCUUACGGGGAAAGAUUUAUUGCCGAAGGAACGGCCCGCGUCCGAUUAGCUAGUUGGUGAGGUAAUGGCUCACCAAGGCGACGAUCGGUAGCUGGUCUGAGAGGAUGACCAGCAUCACUGGGACUGAGACACGGCCCAGACUCCUACGGGAGGCAGCAGUGGGGAAUAUGGACAAUGGGCGCAAGCCUGAUCCAGCCAUGCCGCGUGGAUGAUGAAGGCCUUAGGGUUGUAAAAGUCCUUUUAACGGGGAAGAUAAUGACGGUACCCGUAGAAUAAGCCCCGGCUAACUUCGCGCCAGCAGCCGC